rnacentral:rRNA from 1 species
UACGAAGGGGCUAGCGUUGUUCGGAAUUACUGGGCGUAAAGCGCACGUAGGCGGCUUCAAAAGUCGGUGUGAAAUCCCUCGGCUCAACCGAGGACGUGCAUCCGAAACUGUGAGGCUUGAGUACUGAAGAGGAUCGCGGAAUUCCCGGUGUAGAGGUGAAAUUCGUAGAUAUCGGGAGGAACACCAGUGGCGAAGGCAGGUCUCUGGGCAUUAACUGACGCUGAGGAGCGAAAGCAUGGGGAGCGAACGAGGA